UAGGGAAUCUUCCGCAAUGGGCGAAAGCCUGACGGAGCAACGCCGCGUGAGUGAUGAAGGUCUUCGGAUCGUAAAACUCUGUUAUUAGGGAAGAACAAAUGUGUAAGUAACUAUGCACGUCUUGACGGUACCUAAUCAGAAAGCCACGGCUAACUACGUGCCAGCAGCCGCGGUAAUACGUAGGUGGCAAGCGUUAUCCGGAAUUAUUGGGCGUAAAGGGCGCGUAGGCGGUUUUUUAAGUCUGAUGUGAAAGCCCACGGCUCAACCGUGGAGAGUCAUUGGAAACUGGAAAACUUGAGUGCAGAAGAGGAAAGUGGAAUUCCAUGUGUAGCGGUGAAAUGCGCAGAGAUAUGGAGGAAAACCAGUGGCGAAGGCGACUUUCUGGUCUGUAACUGACGCUGAUGUGCGAAAGCGUGGGGAACAAACAGG
rnacentral:rRNA from 1 species